AGUGAACGCUGGCGGUAGGCCUAACACAUGCAAGUCGAACGGCAGCACAGUAAGAGCUUGCUCUUACGGGUGGCGAGUGGCGGACGGGUGAGGAAUACAUCGGAAUCUACUUUUUCGUGGGGGAUAACGUAGGGAAACUUACGCUAAUACCGCAUACGACCUACGGGUGAAAGCAGGGGAUCUUCGGACCUUGCGCGAUUGAAUGAGCCGAUGUCGGAUUAGCUAGUUGGCGGGGUAAAGGCCCACCAAGGCGACGAUCCGUAGCUGGUCUGAGAGGAUGAUCAGCCACACUGGAACUGAGACACGGUCCAGACUCCUACGGGAGGCAGCAGUGGGGAAUAUGGGACAAUGGGCGCAAGCCUGAUCCAGCCAUACCGCGUGGGUGAAGAAGGCCUUCGGGUUGUAAAGCCCUUUUGUUGGGAAAGAAAAGCAGCAGGUUAAUACCCCGCUGUUCUGACGGUACCCAAAGAAUAAGCACCGGCUAACUUCGUG
rnacentral:rRNA from 1 species